GCCUUGGUAGCUCAGUUGGUAGAGCAGCUGUUUUGUAAACAGCAGGUCACAAGUUCGAAUCUUGUCCAAGGCUCCA
rnacentral:tRNA from 1 species